rnacentral:lncRNA from 1 species
GGACAGGGGUGGGAGCGGGGGUUGGGGGGUGAUCCAGGCCUCCCUCCUGCCCACCGUUCCGCCCCACCCUGCCCUGCCCACACGUGCCCCGCAGAGCUCCAUUUCCUGAGGUCUGGAAUAAAGCCUUUGGAUCUUGAGUUCUUUGUCAGAGGGCAAAUAUCCCUGAGAAACCAGGCUAAGUCCGUCAGAGGAGGGAAGUAGGGCAAGUGCCGGAAGGGGACUGAGAAAGGGAAAGGUGGAAAAUGGGAGGAUAAAGCCUCCUGCAAAGGUAUCAGGAGGAGGGAGCAGAGCCGCCCCACUCAAGCUGCAGGCCUGCCCUGCCUCACAUCCUCUGUGCCAGCCUCCACCCAGGUGGCCCUGCAGGAGUGCAGGCCCCACCCCAACACCUUCUCUCAGGCAGAAGAGGGGCUCCAGGAGCAAGGGGAGCAAGGCUGAAUGGGAUCACUGCCCUGGCAACUUUCCAGGGCAGCCAGGAGAGGGGCAUGUGCUCCUGGUCCAUUCCAUACCCCGUCCCCCACCUCCUUGACCAUCAUCCCCUAGUUCCCUGGCCUCUGGUUGGGGUGAGGGAGCGGGAGCCUCUGCAAGAGUUUGGAGGGAGGUCAGGUGCCCUUGGCCAUUAUCUUCAUGACCUUCCAGCCAUCCCCUUAAAUCUGUUCUUUUGAGAGGCCCUUCAAAUGACCCCAGGAAACCAGGGUCAGACAUUGGCAUUGAGGAUUGAGUCCACCCAGCUCUCCCAUUCACAGAUGGAGAAGGUGAAGCACAGAGGGCCUACGCACUGAAAUCUCUCCUGUCUACGGCCGCCAGGUGAAUCGUGCCAAGACGCCGCUUUCACCGGUUAGAAGAACUUCAUUCCGUGGUUCUCUACUGCAUAGGGGCUGAUGGCCAGUGUCACUCAUUCAGGACACACCCCCACCUGGCUUCUGGCCCCUUCUUCCCUGUGAUUGGAGACAUUUGCUAACCACCGUCAUCUCCCUUGUACUACAGAGCAGCUUUUUCCUCUCUACUAGAUCGGGCAUUGCCUUCCUCUUCAAGGUAAUGGGAAACUGACCCCACCUGGGUCUCGUUCCAUGUCCUGAUGUACCUGUAGACAUGCUCUGUGGCCCCAGCAAGUCCCUUUCUCUCUUUGGCCCCUCCUUCUCCUAUGCUCACCUUUAUUUACAUCUCAGGCCCCUUGUCUUGGCCCAGUGGUGACCAAGGAGAAAGUUCUGCUCACCUAAGACUUAGCACUAGGCAGGUGCCUCUGGCACAGCCUCCUUCCUUUGGGAGCUGGCGGGACUGUGUGAUCCUGGGGCGCCCUCUCGUGGUUGAAGAUGCUCACAAACCUCGUCUGAAAUCUCUCCUGUCUACGGCCGCCAGGUGAAUCGUGCCAAGACGCCACUUUCACAGGGCUUUGGGCUCUAUUUUCACCUUGAAAAAGUGGCGUUGAAUUGUCUUUGUUCUCAGCAGAGAGCUGACACCUGUUCUUCUCAGCGCCUCCUGCACUCGCGGGCUGAGCGGCCCACUUCUGCACUGAUGCUGCUGUCUUCUCGUGCUUCUGCCUUGUUUCAGAUAUGUAAGUUACAUCUCUCCAACUCUGCUGUAAGCUUUCAUGCUUUAAAUUUCUUCACUGAAUUUUGCCAUACACAAAAGUAUUCACUGAGCACCUCAUGUGGCCCAGGCUCUUCGCUUCUUACCCACCUGGAGCUUUCAGUCCAACACGAGUGUCACACAAUGAACAUGGAAGCAGCAGAUGAAUGCAUUACAGAUAUGCCAUGAGGGAAUACACAGGGAACAGGGAUGCUGCCAAGGGCUCUCUGAGGAUGGGGAGCCAGCCCCGCCUCAGGAGGAUCUGGGGAAGGGUGGUCCAGGUCAGGGAAUAGUAAGAGGCUGGUCCUGUUUGAGGCCCUGAGAAGAAGCCAGGGUUGCUCCACCAAAGAGAGGAGCACAGGAUGAGGCUGGAGGGGCAGGAGGGCUUAGAUCCUCUAGGGCUUUUUUGUUUUGUUUUGUUUUUAGAGAGAGGGUCUCCCUCUGCUGCCCAGAUGUCUCACUCUGCUACAGUACAGUGGUGCAGUCAUACAUAGCUCAGUUGCAGCCUCAAAUUCCCGGGCUUAUGUGAUCCUCCCACCUCAGCCUCCUGGGAGUAGCUGGGACUACAGGAGUGUGCCACCAUGCCUGGCUAAUUAUUAACUUUUUUUGUAGAGAUAGGCUCUCCCUAUGUUGCCCAGUCUGGUCUCAAACUCCUGGGCUCAAAUGAUCCUCCCACUUCAGCCUCCUGAAUAGCUAGGACUACAUGUAUGCACCACAACACUUGGCCAGCUUUUUUUUUUUUUUUCCUGUCUUGAGACUGAGCCUCAGUCCGUUGCCCAGGCUGGAGUGCAGUGGCGCGAUCGCAGCUCACUGCAACCUUCACCUCCUGGGUUCAAGAGAGUCUCCUGCCUCAGUCUCCCGAGUAGCUGGGACCACAGGUGUGCACCACCACGCCUGGCUAAUGUUUGUAUUUUUAGGAGAGGUGGAGGUCUCAAACUUCUGGCCUCAAGUGAUCCGCCCACCUCAGCCUCCCAAAGUGCUGGGAUUAUAGGUGUGAGCCACUGCGGCUGGGCUAAUUUUGUUUUUUGUAGAGACAAGUUCUCACUAUGUUGCCCAGGCUAGUCUUGAACUCCUGGGCUCAAGUGAUCCUCCUGCCUUGGCCUCCCAAAGUGUUAGGAUUACAGAAGUAAGCUUCUGGGCUCAGCUCACAUUUUUUAAUACAUUUUAUUACAUUUAUAUGUAUGGUUUUUACCUACAUGCCAACUUAGCACAUCAUAUAUAUAUAUAUAUAUAUAUACACACACACACACACACA